GACCUCAAAUCAGGUAGGACUACCCGCUGAACUUAAGCAUAUCAAUAAGCGGAGGAAAAGAAACUAACAAGGAUUCCCCUAGUAACUGCGAGUGAAGCGGGAAAAGCUCAAGUUUAAAAUCUGACGGUCUUUUGGUCGUCCGAGUUGUAAUCUAGAGAAGUGUUAUCCGCGUUGGACCGUGUACAAGUCUCCUGGAAUGGAGCGUCAUAGAGGGUGAGAAUCCCGUCUUUGACACGGACUACCAGUGCUUUGUGAUGCGCUCUCAAAGAGUCGAGUUGUUUGGGAAUGCAGCUCAAAAUGGGUGGUAAAUUCCAUCUAAAGCUAAAUAUUGGCGAGAGACCGAUAGCGAACAAGUACCGUGAGGGAAAGAUGAAAAGAACUUUGGAAAGAGAGUUAAACAGUACGUGAAAUUGCUGAAAGGGAAACGC
rnacentral:rRNA from 1 species